rnacentral:rRNA from 1 species
UACGGAGGGGGCUAGCGUUGUCCGAAGUUACUGGGCGUAAAGCGCGCGUAGGCGGGUUGGUAAGUCCGCUGUGAAAGCCCGGAGCUCAACUCCGGAGGGUCGGUGGAUACUGCCAGUCUUGAAGGUGCUAGGGGGAGAUGGAAUUACCGGUGUAGCGGUGAAAUGCGUAGAUAUCGGUAGGAACACCAGUGGCGAAGGCGGUCUCCUGGGGCAUUCUUGACGCUGAGGCACGAAGGCCAGGGGAGCAAACGGG